UACAGAGGGUGCAAGCGUUGUUCGGAAUUAUUGGGCGUAAAGGGCGCGUAGGCGGUGCGGUAAGUCUGUAGUGAAAUCUCUGGGCUCAACUCAGAGUCUGCUAUAGAAACUGCCGUGCUGGAGUGUGGGAGAGGUGAGUGGAAUUCCCGGUGUAGCGGUGAAAUGCGUAGAUAUCGGAAGGAACACCAGUGGCGAAAGCGGCUUCCUGGUCCAGCACCGACGUUCAGGCACGAAAGCGUGGGGAGCAAACAGG
rnacentral:rRNA from 1 species